AUACUUACCUGGCAGGGAAGAUAUAUGCUCACGAAGGUGGUUUUCCCAGGGUGAGGUGCACCCAUCGCACUCCGGGUGUGCUGACCCCUGCAGUUUCCCCAAGUUCGGGAAACUCAGCUGCAUAAUUUGUAGUAGUGGAGGACUGCAUUUGCACUCUCUCC